CGAACGCUGGCGGCGUGGAUAAGACAUGCAAGUCGAGCGCUGAUUACGGGGUAGCAAUAUUCCGUAGUCGGAGCGGCGCAAGGGUGCGUAACACGUGGGUAAUCUGCCAUGAAGUUUGGGAUAACUUGCUGAAAGGCGAGCUAAUACCGGAUGUGAAAAUUGGAAGGCAUCUCCCGAUUUUCAAAGCUGGGGACCGUAAGGCCUGGCGCUUCAUGAUGAGCCCGCGGCCUAUCAGCUAGUUGGUGAGGUAACGGCCCACCAAGGCUAAGACGGGUAGCUGGUCUGAGAGGACGACCAGCCACACUGGAACUGAGACACGGUCCAGACACCUACGAGUGGCAGCAGUCGAGAAUUUUUCACAAUGGGCGCAAGCCUGAUGGAGCGACGCCGCGUGGGGGAUUGAAUGGCUUCGGCCCGUAAACCCCUGUCAUUCGCGAUCAACCCUUAUUAUUUAAAAGAUGGUAAGCUGAUAGUAGCGGAAGAGGAAGGGACGGCUAACUCUGUGCCAGCCGCUGC
rnacentral:rRNA from 1 species